UCUCGUCAAUAUGGGUCUCGUCUGUAUAUAUAAAAUCAAUUGCACGUAAAAUUCAAGAAGAGCGGUCCAAAGAUAGAAGCCAAGUUUUAGUACAUGGGCAUGUGAAACCCGAGCAAUGAGAAAAAAAUGUCAACUAAUAGGGGCCGAGGUUCACUCAAACUUUCUAUUCUCUAAUGCUUUUUCAUUAGAAUACACAAUAUACAUAAAAUCCUUCUUCUAACUUGAUCGUCGGAGCUUCUACGUCGGCAAACCUUUUCCGGUGUUGCAAGAACGACAGCCGGCCGAAAUUCUAGUGAGGUUGAAAAUUGACGCAAGAAGAAUCAAACUGACAUCAUCAAGCAGGCGAAGCGAAUCCGAUCAAUGUUAUAUAUAUGUUUAGUUACAUUAUAACGACUGUUGCCAAAGGGAUGUAAUAGUAAUUAUGAAACUUUGAAGCUUGGUUUCGACUUUCGAUAAUUACAUGUUAGAAUUGCCAAAAUAAUACUCGGCCCAAUAUAUUUGUGGUCCUUGUAAACCAGUUAAAAG
rnacentral:lncRNA from 1 species